AUUGAACGCUGGCGGCAGGCCUAACACAUGCAAGUCGAGCGGAUGAAGGGAGCUUGCUCCUGGAUUCAGCGGCGGACGGGUGAGUAAUGCCUAGGAAUCUGCCUGGUAGUGGGGGAUAACGUCCGGAAACGGGCGCUAAUACCGCAUACGUCCUGAGGGAGAAAGUGGGGGAUCUUCGGACCUCACGCUAUCAGAUGAGCCUAGGUCGGAUUAGCUAGUUGGUGGGGUAAAGGCCUACCAAGGCGACGAUCCGUAACUGGUCUGAGAGGAGGAUCAGUCACACUGGAACGGAGACACGGUCCAGACUCCUACGGGAGGCAGCAGUGGGGAAUAUUGGACAAUGGGCGAAAGCCUGAUCCAGCCAUGCCGCGUGUGUGAAGAAGGUCUUCGGAUUGUAAAGCACGUUAAGUUGGGAGGAAGGGCAGUAAGUUAAUACCUUGCUGUUUUGACGUUACCAACAGAAUAAGCACCGGCUAACUUCGUG
rnacentral:rRNA from 1 species